GGGGGGGGGGGGGGUUGUGUGCACAGAAGGAGCAUGGGCUCAGACUAUUCUCGGAAUGAUAUUGUGACAAGUCUGUCCGAAGGUAAGUGGCUGGUUAGGUGUGGGAAAGAGAUAGAGUGAUAGCCCCCGCUUUCGUCAGUUGACUUGGCGGUUUGAGGUAGGCUGAUCAAGGACUUGCACUGGCCGGCGCAUGUCGACCUGUCACAUGUUCCAGUCGAGUCUCCGAGCUCAAUCUGUGUGUAAAAAUUAUGUGUUGGUAGAAAGUUUAAUGACUCAGCUCAGUUGGUAUGCUAUGCUGUCUAUCUUUUAGACUAUGUGUUUGUUGAGCAAUUUUAUGUAUAUAUUAUGUUACAGGGCUAGGAAAAGGUUAAAGGUUUUUGGACGUUAGGGUUAAAAUCACUGUCCAAAACCUUUGUAGGAACUCUUUUCCAACCUUUUGGAGGGAGCUAGACCAGAAAAAAAAGAAGAAAGAAAAAAAAAAAUUGGGGUGUUCGGGCUUCCUGAAGGUA